CUACGUGCCAGCAGCCGCGGUAAUACGUAGGUCCCGAGCGUUAUCCGGAUUUAUUGGGCGUAAAGCGAGCGCAGGCGGUUAGAUAAGUCUGAAGUUAAAGGCUGUGGCUUAACCAUAGUACGCUUUGGAAACUGUUUAACUUGAGUGCAGAAGGGGAGAGUGGAAUUCCAUGUGUAGCGGUGAAAUGCGUAGAUAUAUGGAGGAACACCGGUGGCGAAAGCGGCUCUCUGGUCUGUAACUGACGCUGAGGCUCGAAAGCGUGGGGAGCGAACAGGAUUAGAUACCCUGGUAGUCCACGCCGUAAACGAUGAGUGCUAGGUGUUGGAUCCUUUCCGGGAUUCAGUGCCGCAGCUAACGCAUUAAGCACUCCGCCUGGGGAGUACGACCGCAAGGUUGAAACUCAAAGGAAUUGACGGGGGCCCGCACAAGCGGUGGAGCAUGUGGUUUAAUUCGAAGCAACGCGAAGAACCUUACCAGGUCUUGACAUCCCGAUGCUAUUUCUAGAGAUAGAAAGUUA
rnacentral:rRNA from 1 species